GGGUUGUGAGGUUAAGCGACUAAGCGUACACGGUGGAUGCCCUGGCAGUCAGAGGCGAUGAAGGACGUGCUAAUCUGCGAUAAGCGUCGGUAAGGUGAUAUGAACCGUUAUAACCGGCGAUUUCCGAAUGGGGAAACCCAGUGUGUUUCGACACACUAUCAUUAACUGAAUCCAUAGGUUAAUGAGGCGAACCGGGGGAACUGAAACAUCUAAGUACCCCGAGGAAAAGAAAUCAACCGAGAUUCCCCCAGUAGCGGCGAGCGAACGGGGAGCAGCCCAGAG
rnacentral:rRNA from 1 species